AGGACGAACGCUGGCGGCGUGCAUAAAACAUGCAAGUCGAACGGGUCCAAAGCCGCAAGGCUGAGGACUAGUGGCGAACGGCUGAGUAACACGUAGGUGACCUGCCCUGAAGUGGGGGACAACUCUCCGAAAGGAGAGCUAAUACCGCAUGUGACCACUCGUUCAUUCGAGUGCUUAAAGACGUAAGUCGCUUUGGGAGGGGCCUGGCGGCGGAUCAGCUUGUUGGUGGGUAACGCCUACCAAGGCUACGAUCCGUAG
rnacentral:rRNA from 1 species